rnacentral:rRNA from 1 species
CGGUAAGGUGAUAUGAACCGUUAUAACCGGCGAUGUCCGAAUGGGGAAACCCAGUGUGACUCGUCACACUAUCAUUAACUGAAUCCAUAGGUUAAUGAGGCGAACCGGGGGAACUGAAACAUCUAAGUACCCCGAGGAAAAGAAAUCAACCGAGAUUCCCCCAGUAGCGGCGAGCGAACGGGGAGGAGCCCAGAGCCUGAAUCAGCAUGUGUGUUAGUGGAAGCGUCUGGAAAGGCGCGCGAUACAGGGUGACAGCCCCGUACACAAAAGCGCAUGUGCUGUGAGCUCGAUGAGUAGGGCGGGACACGUGGUAUCCUGUCUGAAUAUGGGGGGACCAUCCUCCAAGGCUAAAUACUCCUGACUGACCGAUAGUGAACCAGUACCGUGAGGGAAAGGCGAAAAGAACCCCGGCGAGGGGAGUGAAACAGAACCUGAAACCGUGUACGUACAAGCAGUGGGAGCCCCACCACCAAAGCGUUUCGCUUUGCGUGGUGCGCAAAAUGCGUAACGACAGCACGAUUGCGGUUAACGGAGCGUAAGCGACGUUCAACACAAGAAUCAGGCAGUGGAGCGUUUUGGGGUGGGGUGACUGCGUACCUUUUGUAUAAUGGGUCAGCGACUUA